UAAGUCGUAACAAGGUAACCGUACCGGAAGGUGACGGCUGGAUCACCUCCUAA
rnacentral:rRNA from 1 species